UCUCUCUAUUUCUCCGCGUGUAAGAUGGCUGCAAGAUAGGAAGCCAAAAACACAUCUGCUUUGAAGUCCCAGAUUGAAUAGCUACAACAGGAGAGGGAUGGAUUUCAAAGGAUGGUGAUUGGAAACCAGUUACUAUAAGGUGAUCUGCUGAUGGUAUGAGUGGAGAUCUACUAGGACUGCUUCGGUUUCUUUAUUACUUGGUUUGGUGAAGAAAUGUACUUGCCUUCUUUUUCUUUAUGACUUGGUGAUUCAAGCAUUUGUAUCUUUUGGGUAUUUGAUAGAAUGAUUUUAUGUAAAAUGUAUGUUUUAUAAAUUUAAUGUAAUAUUAAUUUUAUUUAUGAA